GAAAUGCGAUAAGUAAUGUGAAUUGCAGAAUUCAGUGAAUCAUCGAAUCUUUGAACGCACAUUGCGCCCCCUGGUAUUCCGGGGGGCAUGCCUGUUCGAGCGUCAUUUCACCACUCAAGCCUCGCUUGGUAUUGGGCGACGCGGUCCGCCGCGCGCCUCAAAUCGACCGGCUGGGUCUUCCGUCCCCUCAGCGUUGUGGAAACUAUUCGCUAAAGGGUGCCGCGGGAGGUCACGCCGCAAAACAACCCCAUUUCUCAGGUUGACCUCGGAUCAGGUAGGGAUACCCGCUGAACUUAAGC
rnacentral:misc_RNA from 1 species